UACAGAGGUCUCAAGCGUUGUUCGGAUUCAUUGGGCGUAAAGGGUGCGUAGGCGGCGCGGUAAGUCGGGUGUGAAAUUUCGAGGCUUAACUUCGAAACUGCAUUCGAUACUGCCGUGCUUGAGGACUGGAGAGGAGACUGGAAUUUACGGUGUAGCGGUGAAAUGCGUAGAUAUCGUAAGGAAGACCAGUGGCAAAGGCGGGUCUCUGGACAGUUCCUGACGCUGAGGCACGAAGGCCAGGGGAGCAAACGGG
rnacentral:rRNA from 1 species